UUUUGCUGCCUGUGUCACAUCUUGGCCAGAAAGUCCAGCUCACUGUGCAAAACAGCACGCAGGAGUCAAGUGGCAGGUCCUGUCUCCUAGAGAACACCAGUGACCUAACUGCUUCCCCUGGCUCUUCAUUUCACAGGUUCCUGGUGUGUGGGAGGUGACUGAGACCCUCCAUGAAUGAGGGCACUUACUGAAUUUUGUGGACAGAACUUUUUCUUAACAUCUCCAAUGACAGUUUCGAGCAAGAUCUCAAAAUAAAUGAUAUUGAAGACAUUUCCCUGGUCAAGAGACAGCAGGGAGAGAAGAAACAAUAAUGUUAAAAGAGAAGGAAGGUGCCCAAGAAAACCUGGCUCCUGGACUGUACCCUGAUCUGUUUGAAAAUAAUGUAAGGUGUAAAAUUACCAAGACCUGGCUUGUCUUCAGGACUAAGUCUGAUAGGAAUAGCUUUGCUAAUAAUUUCAACACUGAUUUAAUUCAACAUUAACAUAGGUAUGCC
rnacentral:lncRNA from 1 species